rnacentral:piRNA from 1 species
UCCAGAUUCUUGCUUCCUGUGAAAGAAA